rnacentral:rRNA from 1 species
AACGAACGCUGGCGGCAUGCCUAACACAUGCCAGUCGAACGAGACCUUCGGGUCUAGUGGCGCACGGGUGCGUAACGCGUGGGAACCUGCCCUUAGGUUCGGAAUAACUCCCCGAAAGGGGUGCUAAUACCGGAUAAUGUCUUCGGACCAAAGAUUUAUCGCCUUUGGAUGGGCCCGCGUUGGAUUAGCUAGUUGGUAGGGUAAAAGCCUACCAAGGCGACGAUCCAUAGCUGGUCUGAGAGGAUGAUCAGCCACACUGGGACUGAGACACGGCCCAGACUCCUACGGGAGGCAUCAGUGGGGAAUAUUGGACAAUGGGCGAAAGCCUGAUCCAGCAAUGCCGCGUGAGUGAUGAAGGCCUUAGGGUUGUAAAGCUCUUUUACCCGGGAUGAUAAUGACAGUACCGGGAGAAUAAGCUCCGGCUAACUCCGUG